UACAGAGGUGGCAAGCGUUGUUCGGAAUUACUGGGCGUAAAGGGCGCGUAGGCGGCCUACUAAGUCAGACGUGAAAUCCCCCGGCUUAACCUGGGAACUGCGUCUGAUACUGGAAGGCUUGAGGAUGGGAGAGGGAUGUAGAAUUCCAGGUGUAGCGGUGAAAUGCGUAGAUAUCUGGAGGAAUACCGGUGGCGAAGGCGGCAUCCUGGACCAUUACUGACGCUGAGGCGCGAAAGCGAGGGGAGCAAACGGG
rnacentral:rRNA from 1 species